rnacentral:rRNA from 1 species
UACAUCGGAACGUGCCCAAUCGUGGGGGAUAACGCAGCGAAAGCUGUGCUAAUACCGCAUACGAUCUACGGAUGAAAGCAGGGGAUCGCAAGACCUUGCGCGAAUGGAGCGGCCGAUGGCAGAUUAGGUAGUUGGUGAGGUAAAGGCUCACCAAGCCUUCGAUCUGUAGCUGGUCUGAGAGGACGACCAGCCACACUGGGACUGAGACACGGCCCAGACUCCUACGGGAGGCAGCAGGC